ensembl:snRNA U6 U6 spliceosomal RNA
GUGCUCAGUUCAGCAGCACAUAUACUAAAAUUGGAAUGGCACAGAGAAGAUUAGCAUGGCCCCAAGGCAAGGAUGACAGGAAAAUUUGUAAAGCAUUCCAUAUUUAA